rnacentral:rRNA from 1 species
UACGUAGGGCGCAAGCGUUGUCCGGAAUUAUUGGGCGUAAAGAGCUUGUAGGUGGCUUGUCGCGUCUGCCGUGAAAACCCGAGGCUCAACCUCGGGCGUGCGGUGGGUACGGGCAGGCUAGAGUGUGGUAGGGGAGACUGGAACUCCUGGUGUAGCGGUGAUAUGCGCAGAUAUCAGGAAGAACACCGAUGGCGAAGGCAGGUCUCUGGGCCAUUACUGACACUGAGAAGCGAAAGCAUGGGGAGCGAACAGGAUUAGAAACCCCUGUAGUCC